rnacentral:rRNA from 1 species
UACGUAGGGUGCAAGCGUUGUCCGGAAUUAUUGGGCGUAAAGAGCUUGUAGGCGGUUUGUCGCGUCUGCUGUGGAAUUUCGGGGCUCAACCCCGAACUUGCAGUGGGUACGGGCAGACUAGAGUGUGGUAGGGGAGACUGGAAUUCCUGGUGUAGCGGUGAAAUGCGCAGAUAUCAGGAGGAACACCGAUGGCGAAGGCAGGUCUCUGGGCCACUACUGACGCUGAGAAGCGAAAGCAUGGGGAGCGAUCCGG